CAUAUGCAUAUUUUAAAUCAUGGACUAAACUAUCUUUUUAAUAAAUUAUCACUGUCAACACGUGUUCCUCCUACAUUUCAAUAUGGCUUUCUUUAGAUGGAUGUCGACGUUCCUUGUGUGUUUGGUUCCAUGUAUCCAUGGUAACUGUAGAAUUAGGGACAAUGGUAUACCUCUAAGUAUAAAUGAAGGCUACGAGUGGAAGGAUACAUGCGAUACGUGUAGAUGUACGAAUGGUAAAGUAGUUUGUAGCGGUGGACCUAACUGUCCUAUACCUCACUCAGACACUUUAUCUUACACCUGCCUAAAAUGGUCAGCUGAUAAAUGUUGUUGCUUAAAGCAAGGAUGUGUUGGUUUUGAUGAUAAAGAAUACAUGUUUGGGGAUUACAUGCCAAUGAAUGCCAGUGGUUGUCAAAAAUGCUUAUGUUCUGAAUAUAUGUUAACAGCUAAAUGCUUCAUUGAAAAGACAGACGCCUGUUCUAAAGAGAAGCAUGAUCAUCCAUUUUCGUCAGAUCAUUUACAUAGCCAUAUUAAGAACAAAUAAAACAGAAACGAGACAGUUA